rnacentral:tRNA from 1 species
GCGGUUGUGGUCUAGUGGCUAUGACAGGGGCUUCCCAAGAACUUUUGCAGGCAUGGCAAAAAUCAGGAAACAGCCUCUAACCCGGGUUCAAAUCCCGGCAGCCGCA